ACAUGCAAGUCGAACGGGAAUUAUUUAUUGAAACUUCGGUCGAUUUAAUUUAAUUCUAGUGGCGGACGGGUGAGUAACGCGUGGGUAACCUGCCUUAUACAGGGGGAUAACAGUCAGAAAUGGCUGCUAAUACCGCAUAAGCGCACAGAGCUGCAUGGCUCAGUGUGAAAAACUCCGGUGGUAUAAGAUGGACCCGCGUUGGAUUAGCUAGUUGGUGGGGUAACGGCUCACCAAGGCGACGAUCCAUAGCCGGCCUGAGAGGGUGAACGGCCACAUUGGGACUGAGACACGGCCCAGACUCCUACGGGAGGCAGCAGUGGGGAAUAUUGCACAAUGGGGGAAACCCUGAUGCAGCGACGCCGCGUGAAGGAAGAAGUAUCUCGGUAUGUAAACUUCUAUCAGCAGGGAAGAUAGUGACGGUACCUGACUAAGAAGCCCCGGCUAACUACGUGCCAGCAGCCGCGGUAAUACGUAGGGGGCAAGCGUUAUCCGGAUUUACUGGGUGUAAAGGGAGCGUAGACGGUGUGGCAAGUCUGAUGUGAAAGGCAUGGGCUCAACCUGUGGACUGCAUUGGAAACUGUCAUACUUGAGUGCCGGAGGGGUAAGCGGAAUUCCUAGUGUAGCGGUGAAAUGCGUAGAUAUUAGGAGGAACACCAGUGGCGAAGGCG
rnacentral:rRNA from 1 species